ACAAGGUAGGAGUGUACCCCCUGCUACUCCUCAGCAAGAGGAAGAAGGACAACAUUUUGUCGUCAACUGCACUGAGGACUCACAGUGGUAUGAUGAAUCAGACCUCAAUGGCAGCAAUCCAAAGGUUGUAUGAGGCAAUUGUGAAAGUGGCAAUCAACACCCAUGCCCCCACACUACAACCCUCCUCCUGUUGCUGCCCAGGAGACCAGCUACACCCUCAUCCUCACCCAGGUUUAACCCCCGAUAUCCCCCACCACCCGGCAGACCAGCUACACCCCCAUCCUCACCCAGGUUGAACCCCCGAUAUCCCCCACCACCCAGGAGACCAGCUACACCCGGAUCCCCAACCAGGUUGAACCCCCGAUAACCCCCACUGCCCAGGAGACCAGCUACACUAUCCUCAACCAGGUUGAACCCCCAAUAACCCCCACCGCCCAGGAGACCAGCUACACCCAAACCGAACCAAAGAAGACAGGGAGAAAGUCCUGUAGCCCUGUCACCCUCAAAAAACCCUCCAACCCGCUGAGCAUGACAGUCAACCCAGUUCAACCCCGACCAAGGAAGAGGAAAUAUGACUACAUGCAAAAAAAUCAGUAUCUAACUUAUAUUGUUUAUUCAUAAAUCUUCAAUGAUGUUUUCAAUAAACUAAUUCCAGUGA